UACGUAGGUGGCAAGCGUUGUCCGGAUUUACUGGGCGUAAAGAGCGCGCAGGCGGUCGUUCAAGUCGCGUGUGGAAGCCCCCGGCUCAACUGGGGAGGGUCACGCGAUACUGAUCGACUCGAAGGCAGGAGAGGGUAGUGGAAUUCCCGGUGUAGUGGUGAAAUGCGUAGAUAUCGGGAGGAACACCAGUGGCGAAGGCGACUACCUGGCCUGUUUCUUGACGCUGAGGCGCGAAAGCUAGGGGAGCAAACGGG
rnacentral:rRNA from 1 species